CGCAGCCGCGGUAAUUCCAGCUCCAAUAGCGUAUAUUAAAGUUGUUGCAGUUAAAAAGCUCGUAGUUGAAUUUCGGGAUCAGUACGCUGGUCGUGCCUUUGGUAUGUACUGGUGUCACUGAUUCCUCCCUUCUGAAGAACCGUUAUGCCAUUUAUUUGGUGUGGCGGGGAAUCAGGACUGUUACUUUGAAAAAAUUAGAGUGUUUAAAGCAGGCUCGCGCUUGAAUACAUUAGCAUGGAAUAAUGAAAUAGGACGUUUGAUCUUAUUUUGUUGGUUUCUAGGAUCGACGUAAUGAUUAAUAGGGAUAGUUGGGGGCAUUAGUAUUCAAUUGUCAGAGGUGAAAUUCUUGGAUUUAUUGAAGACUAACUACUGCGAAAGCAUUUGCCAAGGAUGUUUUCAUUAAUCAAGAACGAAAGUUAGGGGAUCGAAGACGAUCAGAUACCGUCGUAGUCUUAACCAUAAACUAUGCCGACUAGGGAUCGGAUGAUGUUAUUUUUAA
rnacentral:rRNA from 1 species